rnacentral:rRNA from 1 species
UACAGAGGGGGCAAGCGUUAUUCGGAAUUAUUGGGCGUAAAGGGCGCGUAGGCGGCUUUGCAAGCGACGGGUGAAAUCCCUCGGCUUAACCGAGGAACUGCCUGUCGAACUGCUUUGCUUGAGGCCGGGAGAGGCGAGUGGAAUUCCCAGUGUAGCGGUGAAAUGCGUAGAUAUUGGGAGGAACACCAGUGGCGAAGGCGGCUCGCUGGACCGGUUCUGACGCUGAGGCGCGAAAGCGUGGGUAGCAAACAGG